AUUAAAGUUGUUGCAGUUAAAAAGCUCGUAGUUGGAUUUCGGGGCUCCUUAUGUAAUAGUCAUGCGGUGGACACUUGCUUGUUGCUUUAGGGGGGUGUUUUUUUGGGGCAACCCGAGGACACCACCCGGCGGCAGGGGAAAGGCCACUGCGGGCGGGGCCCAUUUAUAUUUCUCGAAGACGUCACGGGCCCUUAACUGGUGUACUGUGGUCGCGGAUUCGAGACGUUUACUUUGAAAAAAAUUAGAGUGUUCAAAGCAGGCAAUCAAAAACGCUUGAAUACAUUAGCAUGGAAUAAUGGAAUAGGACUUUGGUCUUAUUUUGUUGGUUUCUAGGACUGAAGUAAUGAUUAAUAGGGACAGUUGGGGGCAUUCGUAUUUAAUUGUCAGAGGUGAAAUUCUUGGAUUUAUGAAAGACGAACUUCUGCGAAAGCAUUUGCCAAGGAUGUUUUCAUUAAUCAAGAACGAAAGUUAGGGGAUCGAAGACGAUUAGAUACCGUCGUAGUCCUAACCAUAAACUAUGCCGACUAGGGAUCAGUGGGGAACAAAUCAAAAAACUCCAUUGGCACCUUAUGAGAAAUCAAAGUUUUUGGGUUCUGGGGAAAGUACCAACGCAAGUUGGAAACUUAAAGGAAUUGACGGAAGGGCACACCAGGCGUGGAAUCUGCGGCUUAAUUUGACCCAACACGGGGAAACUCACCAGGUCCAGACAAAAUAAGGAUUGACAGAUUGAGAGCUCUUUCUUGAUUUUUUGGGCAGUGGUGCAUGGCCGUUCUUAGUUGGUGGAGCGAUCUGUCUGGUUAAUUCCGAUAACGAACGAGACCUUAACCUGCUAAAUAGCGACGUCAUUCCUUGUGAAGGACGGAUUUUGACUUCUUAGAGGGACUAUCGGUGACUAACCGAUGGAAGUUUGAGGCAAUAACAGGUCUGUGAUGCCCUUAGGUGUUCUGGGCCGCACGCGCGUUACACUGACAGAGGCAGCGAGUUUUUUUAAAUAUCCUGGCCUGGAAAGGUUUGGGUAAUCUUGUGAAUCUCUGUCGUGAUGGGGAUAGAUCUUUGUAAUUAUCGAUCUUCAACGAGGAAUGCCUUGUAAUCGCGGUUCAUCAAAUCGCGUUGACUACGUCCCUGCCCUUUGUACACACCGCCCGUCGCUACUACCGAUUGAAUGGUUUAGUGAGGUCUCGGGACUGGCGCGGCUUGGCUGUAAAAGGCCGAUCCAUGCUGGGAACUUGCCCAAACUUGAUCAUUUAGAGGAAGUAAAAGUC
rnacentral:rRNA from 1 species